rnacentral:rRNA from 1 species
GACGAACGCUGGCGGCGUGCUUAACACAUGCAAGUCGAACGGAAAGGCCCUGCUUUUGUGGGGUGCUCGAGUGGCGAACGGGUGAGUAACACGUGAGUAACCUGCCCUUGACUUUGGGAUAACUUCAGGAAACUGGGGCUAAUACCGGAUAGGAGCUCCUGCUGCAUGGUGGGGGUUGGAAAGUUUCGGCGGGUGGGGAUGGACUCGCGGCUUAUCAGCUUGUUGGUGGGGUAGUGGCUUACCAAGGCUUUGACGGGUAGCCGGCCUGAGAGGGGGACCGGCCAAAUGGGGACGGGGAAAGGGCCCAGACUCCUACGGGAGGAAGAAGGGGGGAAUAUGGCAAAAUGGGCGGAAGCCUGAUGCAGCAACGCCGCGUGCGGGAUGACGGCCUUCGGGUUGUAAACCGCUUUCGCCUGUGACGAAGCGUGAGUGACGGUAAUGGGUAAAGAAGCACCGGCUAACUACGUG